rnacentral:rRNA from 1 species
GACGAACGCUGGCGGCGUGCCUAAUACAUGCAGGUUGAGCGCUGAAGGUUGGUACUUGUACCAACUGGAUGAGCAGCGAACGGGUGAGUAACGCGUGGGGAAUCUGCCUUUGAGCGGGGGACAACAUUUGGAAACGAAUGCUAAUACCGCAUAAAAACUUUAAACACAAGUUUUAAGUUUGAAAGAUGCAAUUGCAUCACUCAAAGAUGAUCCCGCGUUGUAUUAGCUAGUUGGUGAGGUAAAGGCUCACCAAGGCGAUGAUACAUAGCCGACCUGAGAGGGUGAUCGGCCACAUUGGGACUGAGACACGGCCCAAACUCCUACGGGAGGCAGCAGUAGGGAAUCUUCGGCAAUGGACGAAAGUCUGACCGAGCAACGCCGCGUGAGUGAAGAAGGUUUUCGGAUCGUAAAACUCUGUUGGUAGAGAAGAACGUUGGUGAGAGUGGAAAGCUCAUCAAGUGACGGUAACUACCCAGAAAGGGACGGCUAACUACGU